CAUCUGGUUCCAUUUUAUUAAAAAACAAAACCAAAAGAAAUUUUGCAGUGAAAUUUCCUGGAAUUCACAACCCUCAUUUAAAAAUCCUUAUAGUUGCAAUAUUUUUUUUUUAGCCAGUACGUAAGAACACGAUUGCACUUAUUUACAUGAUAGUCUUCUAUAUAACAAAAAUAACCAUGUUGUAAUGACUGUUUCCAACUAUCACCCUUGUUUCAUCACUAGCCCAUUAUGAGACAAGUUGAUUACGCUCUCCAAGUACAAAGAGAAUAGAAUAAAGCAAAAUAAAAGUCUGUGUCUCCUAAUAGAAGACAAAUUCCUUUAAAGACAGUUACUUUUUUUUUUUUUUCAAUUUCUUUGUAUUUCAAGAGGGAUAUAAAGUGCUCUGAAAGGAGUAGGGUAGGUGCCUGAGGUGGGGAAGAAGGAAAGAAAUUUAUACAGAAAAAAUUUAAAAAACUACACUGCCUUAACUAAUCAUCUCAAUAUGCACACAACUUUGUACAGAAGAUUAGUUUUGGGUAAAAACGCUACAUAAUUCACUAGUACUUAUUUCGGCAAUUAAGAACUGAAGUCCAAAUGAAAGACUCCCCAUGCAAAUGUCAUCAGGAGUGACUUUUUUGUGAUUUUGGGUCAGAUGCUAUAUAAAUCAAGGAAGCUCAGUCACACAGUCUGAAUAUGGAGAGGAUAGACAAUGCCGAGAUGGAACCAUCAUCUACUACCUGCAGACUAGCCAGAAAGACCUUGUGGGGAAGCUAAGUAGACUUUACCCCAACAUCAAUCAUUUUACAACAAAAGCAUUUUGUUGCAAGCAUUUGUUUACAAUAAAAGUAAUUUGUGUUAGGAUGGAAAAAAAGCCAUUGGAAUUUCCUCUUGCUAGUAGGGAGGAAGAUUGAUUUAUGAUGUCAUGUCUGAUUAUUUAUAAUUGUAAAUUCAUUAUUUGCAGAUUUUUUUCUAGUGGGAAAUAAUAUGCUGUACAAAGUGGUUAAAAUAAGUUAUUUCUUUUUCACAUUUUUGCAACUGGCAAUUGCUGGUUAUUGUCUGCAGUCUACAAAACUGAGUAUCACAUAUGUACUGCUUGAGAGUUUCCCCUGGAAACCAGAAUAAUCAUCCUCCCAGCUCAUGAACAUUUUAAAGAACAAUACCCAUUUUUUUUUCCAGAAAAUGGAUGGAAUGUAACUUUUCACAAAUACAAAAUUAUUUCAUUUUCUAAAUGUAAGGGACACCCCUCUAUAAAAAUAACAGUCCCUCCCCACUCCCACCCCUACAUCUCCUUCUAAUUAUAAAAUGGUAGAACCAUCUCAGAUUACUAAUGUGAAAGCAGGAAGUAAAUAUAUUAUGUACAUGUACAAAACACAUCAGUAUUUCACACCAUUUACAUUCAUAUGAAGUCUUUUUAUUGAUCUUCCUUUGCAAUUUCACAAGAAUAAAGUUGAGAUAACUUACAAAAACAAGCAGUCCCUUGCUUAUAACUGCACAAACAUUCUAGCCAGAGGCAUCUUCUUUGCAAACAGAGCAACAUUAUCCUUCAACAUUUUGCAGAAGUAAGGGCUGCUGACAGUGAGAAGAUCUGUGGGGUCUCCUUCAGCUUUUUAGAGUUUGUGACACUCUUUCCUCAUUUGAUAAAUGUAGACCAAAUUCUCAACUACCGAAGAAAUUGUAUGAUGAAAGGCAAGUAACUGGUUGUUGAAUUCAUGACCCAAGUCAAAUUAAUCUGCUGCAAGAAUAAUUGCGAUUACUCCAGCAGAGGGCACUCUGCUCCUUGCAAUAACAUCCUACUGAACAGUAAGUACCAUGGAUGCCAACACAAAUUCAGACCGAAAAGUCCAUGUAUGUGUUAGUUCUUCAACUGCUCUACUAUACCCAUUAGUACAGGCAACAGUUUUGUAUCUUCUUCGAAAGAGCAGGAUAUACUAUAUUUAGCUAGCUCUUAUACAUGAAAAUUCUUUGGCUAUUUAAAAUCUUCACAUUCUCAAAGAGAACAAUGUUCUGAGUUCAGUAAAGCGCUAGAUUUGUUGGAAAGUUUUGAAGGAAAAGGGGACUAAACACUAGACUUUAAAGAUGGUGUGGUACUAAGGCCACAAUUCAUUUUUUAGAUUUCGGGAUUUAGUAAGGUCAAUCAACAGUCUGCAACAGAAAACCCCAUAAGGUUUAAUGGUUUCAUUCAACCAUGCAACCCACCUUCGCUUUUAUUUAUGAGAACAUUGGGAGAAAAUUCAACUAGUCAAUGGAAGAAACAUGUGUUCAUUUGGAUGGUGAUCAGUCUUUGGUUUAUAUAGCACACAUGGUCCCCACAUUACCCUGCUUCUCCAAGCCUGUCACUUCACUAAGGAUAACAGACCACAGAUAUUCUGCCAAGCAAUGACUUUGGGUAAUUGAGAUUAAGCGACCUUCUCUAAGGAUUUUUCUCCCUCACUGUGUUCAGACAUUGCAGACCUCUUAAUAGACGUGUAUAUUUUUGUCUUAUCAUCAGCAAAUAUUUAUCAGGUGUAGAGUGGAAGAGUGUGGCUAUUGAUCUGUGGGUCUUUAAAAAUUAAUGUUCCUAUUACACAGGGUCUGGGGUUGAGUGAGGACAAAAGGAGGGAAAAGGAAGAGCUAAGGGAUGAUGAGAAACUCAUAUUAGCUUCUUAGAAUUAAUUUAUUUUUCAGGCAAUCCAGACCUUCUUUGCAAUCAUGAGUAUUUUAACUCAUGAGUAUUUAAUUCCUUAAAAAUACAAACUCCCCAAAACCCAGGUCAGCUCUAAACCUAGGGAUGAGCAUUUACUUGGGGACAGCACGCACAUUUUGUUAAGCACAGAAGCUUUCCAGCCCUGCUUUGACCAGCUCCCUGAUCAGAGAUCCUGCCAUCCUCUUUUCUUACUUCCUGCAGGGUGACACUCCCAUCCCAUUUUAACUGCCAACAUCAAACGUAUUCAUCCAUGCAAUGGCAUGGAUGAAGGACCUCGGUGGCCAAGAGCACUGCAUGAAGAACCAUGCAUCCCCAUCUUAAGAGGGUAGUCUCUUCGUGUCUCUUUGUCAGUCUUCAGGAAUUAGUGGCCCUCAGAUCACUUACGAUGAGCAAGCACUUGUGCUAAGUAGUUAGGAAGAAUGGGCAUUCCAUCAGGUACAGUAUACAAGUUUUUCCAAGAAAUCCUAACCCUGGGGGCUCAGGCGAAUGAGGAGGGUCAAAUGCUGAGGGUGGGAGAAAGCAGAUCUAGACAGCAUUCUGGAAUUGUUGCUUUGCCAUUAUUUGCCCAGAAAACAUUUAUGGCAAGGAAGCCUGAAAACAUGGCAAUGGUUGUAAGAUGGGUUGCGAUACAACUGGUGAUGUGAGAAGUGAAAAUGAAACUGACUCCUUUAGGGAGGACAUUGGUUUAUAGUAAACAGGUUUGCCUCAUCAGAAGUGAAUAUGGAUAUUGCUACACAAUAAAAAGAGGAAAAACACCAACAACAGUAACAAUGGUAAUCACAAUAAUGAUAAUGACUCUGUAGGUAUAGAACCUCCAGUUUUUUGUGUUCUGAAGGUUAUUUCAGAGUUUCUUGCAAGAGAGAAAACAAAUCAGAAAAAAAGGGGAAGAGAGAAGAUGGGAAAAUAAUUUAUGUAUGGGUAUACAAAGUAAGAUAUAGGCAGUCAGAGAAAAACAGAUACAGACAGAAAAGGAAAAGAAACUUAGAGAAGAUAUAAAAAUGCUACUGGAAAUUGCCUCUGUGGCCUUAGUACCAGAAAAGACUGGGCUCUCGCUCCACAGAGGGAGUGACUCCAUAGCCCAGAUUUUUUGAAAAGUUUUGAUUUAAGGAUUUUUUUUUAAGUCAGGGUGAUACAUUCAAUGGAUAACUAAAUGUCAUUUAAUUUUUUAUGCUCUGCAAAAAUAUCCAUCUAAACAAAACUCAUAAAUAAGAAAGAAUCCUAUGUUAGAUCACUGGCAUUGAUUUGGUUUUGAGAGUAUGGUAGCCUCAGGGAUGUCAGGGCAGUAACUGAAAUGGCCACUGGGCAUGGUGAGCUUUGAAAUGACCAAACCCAGAUCUAUGAAUUUCCAGGAUAUUUCACCAGGAUGAAGGAAAUGUUAAAAACAAGAAAACAAAACAAAACAAAACAAAAUGAACAUUUUUGGACAGAGCUUUGCCUCCAUGAUUCUGAUCAUUACCAUGUGAUGUCAAAAAUGGGUAGGUACCUUUGCCGCUUUUAAUUUUCUGCCUUCUCCAGACUCUACCUCUCCCUGUGUAGAUGACCAGAGUUGACACUGCAGGGGAUAUCUAACCCUAGAGAUUAAGUCAAUGUUCAAAAGCUGUAUUCAUAGUCAGGGCUCAGCUCUUCCAAAGGGACUAGCCACAUAGGAGGUAGCAGUUCCUAAAGGUGACCCUAAAUUAUUUUGAGUGAAUGCAAAUGCUCCUUUUCUUCCCCAUAGCAUUGGGGUGGCAGGUGGAUGCUGACUUGGAGUAAAAUGCUGGCUGUUGGAGGUGGUCAUAAUUCACCAAGUAGAGACCGGAUGAUCACAGGCCCCCAAAGAUUCUUUUUCAAGAAGGCCACAUAAAGUCUUGCAUUUCUCAUUCUUUCCUCCCAAGUUCGUGAGUUUUCACUACAGCUGUGGGACUGGGGGACACUGGGAAAGGACUUUCACCAACCAUGAACAAGAAGAAGGGGUUGAGGUAAAGUUGGGUGAUUUCAGUCUGGAGUUCUCUUUGGCUCCUAAGUGCCACAUAUCAGUCCGAGGGUUUGCCAUAGAAGUGAGGGGUAUAAUUUUGUUUCAGCACCAAAUCAGCAUGGUUUGUGUGAGUUUUAAGUAACAACUGGUCAGAGGAGUAACAACAAAUGGUCAUGGACAUCAAUGAUAUGGUUAGAAAGUUCAAGCAGAAAUUUUAAAAAGGGUGCCUGAAUCUUUAUUCACUACAAAAUAAAUGGACCUCUGGGCCUCUCAUUAGGCGACUUGGGUGGUGUCCAGUUCUCCCUGGAGGUAAUUAAGCUUUUAACCUUCUUUUCUUUUGUAAGGGUCGGGGGAUCUUGUGAGAAUACUGGAGGAACUCUAGACCUGCAUUGUCCAAUUGGCAGCCACUAGCCACAUGUGACUAUCCAAAUUGAGAGGUGCUGUGAGUGUAAAAGACACAAUGGAUUUAGAAGACUUAGUACACAAAAGCAUGUAAAACAUGUCAUUAAUUUACAUUAGUGACAUGUUGAAACAAUAUUAGGUUAAAGUACAUGAUUAAAAUUAUCUUUACCUGUUUCUUUUUACACUUUAAAAUGUGGCUAGUAGAAAAUUUAAAAUUAUGUCUGUGACUUGCAUUACGUUUCUGUUGGACAGUGCUAGUCUAGACUCUUGCUAUAGAAAAAUGCACAUCUGCAAAUACACAUACAGUCUGCAUUUGCUUCUAGAGGGUACACACACCCUCUGACACUCAUCUGUAGACUACCAGGUCUCCAGGUCAGUCUCUUCUUUGGGGGAGGUAAAGAAGGCUAUAAGGAAGGGCUGUUCCCCUUUCUUCUGAAAGAGAAACUUUCUGGUUAAGCUUUUUUUUUUUCUUUUUUUUUUUUUUUUUAAACUAUCAAAGCUACAGGAAAAUCCUCCAGAAACAAACUUUGGUAAGUAGUGAAUGGCAAAGGCUCAGGGGGU
rnacentral:lncRNA from 1 species